rnacentral:rRNA from 1 species
GACGAACGCUGGCGGCGUGCUUAACACAUGCAAGUCGAACGGAAAGGCCCUGCUUUUGUGGGGUGCUCGAGUGGCGAACGGGUGAGUAACACGUGAGUAACCUGCCCUUGACUUUGGGAUAACUUCAGGAAACUGGGGCUAAUACCGGAUAGGAGCUCCUGCUGCAUGGUGGGGGUUGGAAAGUUUCGGCGGUUGGGGAUGGACUCGCGGCUUAUCAGCUUGUUGGUGGGGUAGUGGCUUACCAAGGCUUUGACGGGUAGCCGGCCUGAGAGGGUGACCGGCCACAUUGGGACUGAGAUACGGCCCAGACUCCUACGGGAGGCAGCAGUGGGGAAUAUUGCACAAUGGGGGGAAGCCUGAUGCAGAAACGCCGCGUGCGGGAUGACGGCCUUCGGGUUGUAAACCGAUUUCGCCUGUGACGAAGCGUGAGUGACGGUAACGGGUAAAGAAGCACCGGCUAACUACGUG